rfam:Cryptosporangium arvum DSM 44712 genomic scaffold CryarDRAFT_CAH.1, whole genome shotgun sequence.
ACGCGCGCUCCGGGGUCGGUGAAAUUCCGAACCGGCGGUUACAGUCCGCGACCCGCAAGCCCUUCGGGGCGAGCGGUUGACCCGGUGGAACUCCGGGACCGACGGUUAAAGUCCGGAUGGGAGGAAGCGCGCGG